AGGUCGUCCAGAGAGCGAUGGGAUAUGGUGUCCCUAAGGAGAAAAAGCUGCUGGCCAUUCCUGAAAGGAGGCAGCAGGCUGUUGCUGAGGUAGCCGCAGGAGCAAGGGAAAAAGGU